GUCUAGGGCUGCAGUUGUUUCUGCCAAGGGAGGAAUCCUGAGUUCUGUGGUUCCAGCUGCUGGGCUCCAGACCAUGCUGAGAGAAAGAAAUUGACGAACAGGAGCAGGAUCCAGGCCUGUCAACCAAAUUAAUGAGGGGCCUUACCAGCAUGAUGAACGUGGCAUGGUGAGAGAACUUGGAAUGUUCAGCCUGGAGAAAAGAUGCGGGGGACAUGUGAGCUGCCACAUGAGGAGGGAUUAGUUUUGCUCUUUGUGGUCGACAAGGAGCCAGUGAUCUGUGGGGGUGAUGUAACCAGCCAAGAGCUUUCAACAGAAGAUGGAACAUCUCCAUGCCCGUGAAGAGAAAUGAACUGCCCAGGAUGGUAAUGAGCUCCUGGUUAAGAUGGAUGUGAAAACAUAGCCUAGUUGACCCUUUGGAUUGAGGCCAUUUUAGAAGGAUUCUAGGAGUUACUUCCAUGCCUGGCACAAAGUAGGUCUGCAAGAAAUGCCUUUGGACUUGUCUGAUAGAUGCAUUGAGUUUGAGGCUGGACUAGAUGCCCUUUGUGAUUCCGUUGGGCUCAGUCCAAUAUUUUUGGAGCAGACUGUCUAUGUGAGGCUCUUUGUCCCUCCAACCUGGAAAUGUUGUCAUUCCCUGGCCUCUGGCCACAGGAAGGGCAGCUCUGGGGUUCUUGCUGCUGAGCUUCCACUGCUCUGCUUUCUCUUGGCUCCCCCAAACCAAGCCCAAAGCCCAUUCACAAACACCCUACAUACUGCCACCUGCAGGGGUCCAGCAUGUAAGGUUGGAGCAGGGGCCCUGGAGGCCCUGGCACUCCAACAGGGGAAAUGGGCCUAUGGCAGGCCAAUUACUGGUAGCUGAUUCUAUUAAGCAGAUAGCUUGCUCCCAGCAAAGCAAUUACACCUAAUCAGCCCCUUGCAACAGUCCAAAGGGACAGCCAUUUGAGCCAGACACAAGCAUGUGCAGGAACAUCAAAGCAGCCUGGGCACACCUGGCAGGCUCAUCUAAGACCAGGGCUGCUCCCCAGGUGGUGACCUUGGCCCUUCCCAGGUUGUGUGGAUCUCAUACCACUGUGGGGCCAGAGCAUUGAGGAAAUAGCAGUGAGGGAGUUCAAAGGCCAGGCUGAGACUUGGCUUUGCCACUAAGGAGCUGAAUUUCAUUGAGGAGGGACUUCUCAGGCCUUUCCUCAGUAUCCAUAUCUGCCAAGUGCAUAGAGUGGACUAGAGAAGAGUCAUUCCUGAAACCCUAGUCUAACCAGUCCAGUGGUUUGGAUUUUCAUUCAGGUUAAAACAUGUCUGAAAUCUCCAAACAUGGAAAUGCAUACUAUUGGGUCUAAUUAUUCAGACUACCUUUGAAAAAAUAAUUGUAAUAAUAUCUGUUAAAACAUAUAGCUGCCUUAUUGAUACUCAGUUUUCCCAUAGAAAUUUUAUGAAAUGUGUGUUCCCCAAGACACCCGGUUUAGUAGCUUCUGGGUCUCAGAUUUGUCAGGGAAGUUAGGUCAUGUUAGAAUAUGAAAAGGUAGGAAGAGGGGUUCUGGAAAUCAGGGACAAGCAAGAUGGAGACAAAUGAGAUACUGGCCAUGGUUGGGGUAUCUGUCAAUGACAAUUCAAAUAGUAUUUUCCUUUUCUAGAGGAAGAACUAUCUGAAAGACUUUUGGAGCUGUCAGUAUGUUAAUUAGGGAUUUUAAACAUCAUUUCUUUCUGGUGCUAAAGUUCUGUGUUCUUUGGGCUGAUACCAAUUAACUGGUGUGACUCAAACUUAUCAUCUGGGCAUCCCAGAGGAAGCAUCCAAAAGGCAAGAGUACCAGCUGUGACCUUGGGUGAGCUAUGGCUUUCUCUGAGCCUCAGGGUCCUCUACUAGGAUCUAAGGAGACAGGAGAGGUCCCCAUAGGACUUCCUCACACCGUGCUUGGGAGACUCCAGUGAGGUGGUGAAUGUGAAAUGAAGAUGUGACUCAUUCCAAGGUGACGAUGUUGUUAGUAGUUGGGGCCCAGGGCCCCUGUCCCUCCUAGCCUUUUUCUCUGUUUUUAUUUUUGUGACUGUGGCUUUGGGAGCAGGGUGGCCUUGCUGGAGCAGACCUUGGGGCCACCUGACUUCCAGCUCCUCUGGCCUUGGUGCUCUCAGAUGGCCGGUGCCUGUGGAAUUAGAUGGGGGCCUUGGUCUGUCUUCUGAGAAGAGCCCUGGCACUGAUUGGCAACCAGUGACCUUGCUGGGCCACAUUCAGCCUUCGGGCCUUUCUGGGGGUUGGGAAGUUUAUGAGAAGCAACCUUGAUUCAGGACUAGGGUUGAGGAGAACAGAUUCUCCAGAUCUGCCUCAGUGCAGAAGAGAAGGAGGGAGGUGGCAUGGGGGAUACCAGAGCCCUGAGGCAGGCCUGGACUGUCCUGUGCCUGAUGUUAACCAUGUGCUCAGAGAGAAGCUAUAGAGAAAAAACACUACUUUAUUCUGCACUUCCUUAUGGGAGUUAUGGGAGAGAACGCUAGCCUGGGAGAGUGUUAGAAAGCCUAGAGUCCCAGCUGAAGCAGUAAGGGACAUGCAAGGUGCAUGGGAGGGGUUUCAGAUGAUGAGAUCAUGGUCUUUCUGGUUUUGCAUGGUCCUCACAGCCAAACCAGCAUUUCAUGUCCUGCAUGAUCUGCCCAGCUCACCUCUCAGGCCUCAUCCCUGUGGCUCCCCUUAGGGGUCUUAGCUCCUGCCAUUCGGUAUUCUUUGCAGUUCCUCCGAAUGCACUAGGCUCUUUCUUGUCUUUAUACCAGAAAUACAAAUAUCAGGGACAUAGAUGAACAGGCUUCAUUCCUAGUUUACAGAUGAGGAAACUGAGGCUCAAAGUGAAGCAACUUGUCUAAGCUCUAACAGUUAAAUAGAUGGAUCCAGGAUUCAAACCCAGAUCAGUCUGCCUUUAAAGUCUGUCCUUUUCCUUCUCUGCCACACUCCCUCUCUAGAAAAUGAUGGAGGUCAGAGCCAGGCAGCAACAGGGAGAGGAGAGCAGACGGUGCUAGCAAUGUUGGGCUGGCUCAUAGAGUUUAGAAUGAAUGAGUCACAUAAAUGAAUGAGUAGCUCAGAGAAGGAGCAGGAUGGGCCAGGACCCUGCACCUGGGCUUACCCUACUCCCUUCGUAUAGGAAACAGGAAGAAACUGUGGACAGGGCCUAGCAACCCUAGCUCAAAAAGGGGCUGGGAGAGAGGACCACCAGUGAACAAGCUAGGGAACCAUUCAUGGUGGCGAUGCAGAAGGGAGGACCAGAGCUGUCCAGGGCCUAGCCCUGACAGGGUACCCAGGCCCCAGCCUAGGCAAGGACCCAGGAGAAUUUCCACAUCUGUGCACAAAGUAAAGAAUGCCUUUGGGAUUUUAAGCUGGGUGCCUGGGAGAAGACUGUUUCCACCAGGGCCUCUGGUGAUCUGAAGGGGAAGGGAUCAGCCGUCGCAUAGAUGAGGGUUGAUCAUGGCAAUGCACGGAGCAUGGGGCAGGGGGUACUGGGCUCUGUAUGUGUAGUUCUCUGAUGCUCCAGAGAUGGUGCUGUCCAAUGAUUCAUGGAAACCACAGCAUGUCAGGGAGAUGGAGGUCAGCUGGGAAACCGCACUCAGGCGGAAGGGCAC
rnacentral:lncRNA from 1 species